AAUGACCCAUGACAAUGGGUGGAGAAGGACUGCAGAAGUGGGAUUAUCCCUUACCCCCAGUCCUUGGUCCUUCUAAGGAGCCUAUUCAGACCAGGGGGAAUUGAAACCAAGGUGGAGGAUAUAUCAGGGAUCUCCUACCAACUCUCCUUAGACAGAAGAAGCUGCUUGGAUGAGUAGCAAAAUGUUUCAACCUAACAAGAAAGAAGUCCAGUUCCCAUGACUCAACUUCCAGAUACUGUACUUCCUUGACUGUAUUUAGCCAGUGAGUGAAAUCCAAGGUGUGAGUGACAUCACAUUUUGAGGCUUAAGAAAUAUAAAAUUGUAGAGUUACCUAUCAAUCUACGCACUGCAUAUACACUAAGUGCCAUUGCUUCUAAAGGUUAAAAUGACAGAAAUACCUAUCAAUCUACGCACUGCAUAUACACACUGAGCACUGCACACACUAAGUGCCAUUGCUUCUAAAGAUUAAAAUGACAGAAGCCUCAGUCAUAAAUACUAGAAGAGCCAAAGUACUACUGGUUAGUUGUGUGCUGUCAAGGCAAAACCAGCUUAUAGUGACCCUAACAGGGCUUUCAUGAUAAGUGAGAUAUUUAAGGAGUGGUUUUACCAGUCCCACACUCCCAGUUACCAUGGUUGAGAAAGGAUUCAAACUCAGGCUCCUGAGUCGUAGCCUGUCACUCUAUCCACUACACCAGCAGUCCCCAACUUUUUUAGGGCUAUGGACUGGCUGGGGGGAGUAAGCUCCAUGCGCAGGGGAGCAAGGGCACCCCAGAGUAUCCACUACACCAGCGGUCCCCAACUUUUUUAGGGCUAUGGACCGGCUGGGGGGGGGUGAGCUCCAUGCGCAGGGGAGCAAGAGCACCCCCGAGCGAAAGUGGUGGGUGUCAUGCAUGUGUGCAAGCGUGACAAGCCCUACGCAUGAGCUUGCGGGGGGUGUGUGCACAGACCCAUAUCCAUGGCUGAGUUCCGGCAAUCCCAUGGACCACCACUGGGCCGCAGAGUGGGGGUUGACAACUCCUGCACUACACCACACUGGGCACAAAAGCACUCCUACGGGAUAUACCGUAUAUUCUGCAUUCUCCUUGGAUGGGCAGCAGCUUUUUAUGUUUUGGGUAUUUUGUUCCUACAUUUUGCUUCAGGAAUCUAUAUCUCAAACUCUUUUCUGCCUCUGGAAGGAGCUAUUACUGUUCUCCUUUUUACAUUAUUAUUAUUCACUGCCCUGUACGCUCUAUGUAUCUCACAGACAUCCCAGAGAGAGGCAGAAAGGGAUGGUGUGGGUGAAAAAUUAG
rnacentral:lncRNA from 1 species